AACGAACGCUGGCGGCAGGCCUAACACAUGCAAGUCGAGCGGACCCUUCGGGGUUAGCGGCGGACGGGUGAGUAACGCGUGGGAAUAUGCCCUUCUCUACGGAAUAGUCCUGGGAAACUGGGGGUAAUACCGUAUACGCCCUUUGGGGGAAAGAUUUAUCGGGGAAGGAUUAGCCCGCGUUGGAUUAGGUAGUUGGUGGGGUAAUGGCAUACCAAGCCGACGAUCCAUAGCUGGUUUGAGAGGAUGAUCAGCCACACUGGGACUGAGACACGGCCCAGACUCCUACGGGAGGCAGCAGUGGGGAAUCUUAGACAAUGGGGGCAACCCUGAUCUAGCCAUGCCGCGUGAGUGAUGAAGGCCUUAGGGUUGUAAAGCUCUUUCAGCUGGGAAGAUAAUGACGGUACCAGCAGAAGAAGCCCCGGCUAACUCCGUG
rnacentral:rRNA from 1 species